UUGUAGCACAGUCAGUACCUGAAAUCACAGACCAAAGCUGCAAAAAAACCCAAAGUCAUAAAAAGACCUGAAGUUGAAGUCCUGAAGCCUCGAAAUGACCCAAAGUAAGGAAAGGAGUCUAAGGAGCAUGGGGAUCUGGUCUUUUUCCAUGCCUAGAAGGUGCCUCGAAUGAAGAUUCUGGAGCCCAAAAGCAGUUUUGUAUCCCUUAUGUUCAAUCCCAGGAUAAUAUCUCUGCAUGUAUUGCCGAUCUGACGAUACCAGUGGGAGACUGUCACCAGCUUUUGUCGGACCUAUCUAUGGUUGCGGUCAGGGGCAAAGCAUCGUCUGAUCUGUUCUCUUACUACUAUCUGAAUGGUUAGUGGCAGGUCAGGAGAUGGCACCGAACCAUCGUCCAACGUGAAGGGCAGAAAGAAAUCCUUCAGAUGCUUCUUUUCCAACUUGCAAAGAAAGACAAAAUUGCUGUGGUCGACUCUUCACUCUGUUACAGAAUUUCAUAUUUAUCCACCAGGAAGGAUGUUUCAGUAGAAUAUCUUACUGGACUGUUUCCAUCCACCUGGUUUACAUUGGUCACCUGUAAAAAAAGAUCGGAAGGUCAUUUCAGUGGUCUGCAAUAAUGUAUUACAAUAUAAUAUAUUGUGUGUAUUUACCGUAAUGCAUUAAGCAAAAGCUUAUUAUGUAAAAAGCAAUAGGUUCACUUUACAAUAAACAAGAUUAAUAAAAUA